rnacentral:sRNA from 1 species
UCUCAUCUCUCUCUGCCUCCUUAUCUUCUUCUCUGUAAACAGAGAGGCCAAAAAUACAGGCCAGGAACUACCGCAUCAACCCAUUCUCCCCCAUUUUCCCGAGUUCCCUAUCCCCUGGAUCUUUCCCUCUCUUUUAACUCUCACUGCCCUCACCUCUCAUUUCAAACUCACUAUCUCUCUCUGGGUUAGUCACCACCGAGACACCACCACACAUGACAACUUCCGUACAUACGAGACCCAGACCAUUACAGCACCAUGCUACAAUCAUCUCACCUUUAUGAACUUAACCCCAAGUUUGGGUUAUGAGAACUGUGCCUUGGAGCUCAAAAGGAAUUCAGUUUUAAAAGUUGAGAUUCCGGCGACUUCAAUGAAACCCGACCAAGGUUUUAGAUGCUAAAAGUUCGUAUCGACGAGGAUUCUUGGUGAAUCUCAGUAUAGGUGGCUACCUCUGAGGGCAUGAUCCUUACCCACUACUGUACUAUAUUUAUGCUCUGACUUCGAGUGUGAAAUGAGUUCAUUCUCGCUCACAGCGCACUCUUGUCUUUAGAAAUUAUUAGGUUUAAAUUUAUUCACAUUUCCACAUCACUAUACUUUAUGGCUUCGUCACCUUUCAGGUGUUGACCAGCACAACUCGAUUCGGAGUCCUAGUGGACAUUCCGGAUCAGGGUGUGUCAUGAGCCGUUUAUACUACAAUUAUCAUGUUCUCUUGCUUUAAAUCUUACUUUUGCAGG